ACGGGAGGCAGCAGUAGGGAAUCUUCCACAAUGGGCGAAAGCCUGAUGGAGCAACGCCGCGUGAGCGAAGAAGGUCUUCGGAUCGUAAAGCUCUGUUGUAAGGGAAGAACAAGUGCAGUAGUAACUGGCUGCACCUUGACGGUACCUUAUCAGAAAGCCACGGCUAACUACGUGCCAGCAGCCGCGGUAAUACGUAGGUGGCAAGCGUUGUCCGGAAUUAUUGGGCGUAAAGCGCGCGCAGGCGGUUCUUUAAGUCUGAUGUGAAAGCCCUCGGCUCAACCGAGGAGGGUCAUUGGAAACUGGAGGACUUGAGUGCAGAAGAGGAAAGCGGAAUUCCAUGUGUAGCGGUGAAAUGCGUAGAGAUAUGGAGGAACACCAGUGGCGAAGGCGGCUUUCUGGUCUGUUACUGACGCUGAGGCGCGAAAGCGUGGGGAGCAAACAGGAUUAGAUACCCUGGUA
rnacentral:rRNA from 1 species